AUCUUGCUCAAAAUAGAUCCCCUUCAUCUUCACUUGACCUAGAAUUUGGGCAUUGAGGGUUUUCCACCCAACCCUGUUGUUACCUGCUACUGAACAAUUGAGGAGAAAUCAGGGACAUUUAGCGGUUAGACGAUCAUCAGCCUUGGCUGUAACCCAAAGUAGCCUGCAAAAACCGGUCUGGAGCUGGUGUUUACGCGACCCUGGAGGAAAAAAAGAGGAACGUAAAGGAACUGCUAGAGACCUCUGAGCUGUGGUGUCCAGUGUAGUGAACGGCCACAUCAGGACCCCGGGAACCUCAUCUUCAUCCUCAGACCCUGAGUGACCACAGAGAGAGGUCAUGACUUGUGGCCUCACAGCGGGGGGAAUCUUCUCUUGCAAUAAAACAGCAGAUGACAAAUGUACACUAGAAAAGGGUUGUAAAGAUAGUCCAGUUUGCAGCCAAUGAUGGAGCCGGCCUUCUUCACCAGUUUAGUGAGUCGGUUGGUGUCACCGGCUCCAAUGCUGCUCCCCCAGAAGACUAUGGAGAAGUCCAGAGCACUGGUCACCACAGACUGGUAGAACAUCUCCAACAUCUUGCCGCACACAAAGGAUCGAAGUUUCCUCAAGAAAAAGAGUUGACUCAUCCCCUUCUUGUACACAGCGUUGAUGUUGGCCUUCCAGUUCAGUCUGUUUUCGAUGGUGACACCCAGGAACGUGUAUUCCACCACCAUGUCCACAUCCUCUCCCAGAACGCUCAGCGGUUGUGGAGCUGUCGUCUUCCUCCUGAAGUACACCACCAUCUCUCUGGUCUUGGCCACGUUCAGAAGCAGGUGAUUUCUGCCGGCCCACUCCACAAAGUCAUCCACCACUCCACUUCCCGUCCGUCCUUAAUACACCCAACCAUAAAUUAAUAUGAUGAAUAUGUCUCGAAAUUCUUAAAUGCAGAAGAGGAACAAGGUAACAGUGACUGUAACACAGUAUACUCUUCUUGCUCUCAGUUAUUUGAUUCAGGGACAUUCUAGAAACAAAAGGAGAAUUUACACUGAAGACAAAUUAAAUGAUGUCACAUUGCUAACAGAUGUUCUUUUUGAAAACUCAGAAGCCAGAGUCUUAAAAGACUAAUGAUUUCCCUGACAGCAUCAGCAGGAAUUGCCACAUUGCACCAAACAAAGAGCUGCAACCAUGAGUACUGAAUGUUCACAGUCAUUGUUUGGCCCGUCUUAUGUCUCACCCUUAACCAAACCAACCAACCCAGCCUUACAGGUCCUUUACAAGUACCUCAAAUGGCAGG